rnacentral:rRNA from 1 species
UACGUAGGGUGCAAGCGUUGUCCGGAAUUAUUGGGCGUAAAGAGCUCGUAGGCGGUCUGUCGCGUCGGCUGUGAAAACCCGGGGCUCAACCUCGGGCCUGCAGUGGGUACGGGCAGACUAGAGUGCGGUAGGGGAGAUUGGAAUUCCUGGUGUAGCGGUGGAAUGCGCAGAUAUCAGGAGGAACACCAAUGGCGAAGGCAGAUCUCUGGGCCGUAACUGACGCUGAGGAGCGAAAGCAUGGGGAGCGAACAGG